rnacentral:rRNA from 1 species
GAUGAACGCUAGCGGCAGGCCUAAUACAUGCAAGUCGAACGGUGUCUUCGGACAUAGUGGCGCACGGGUGCGUAACACGUAUGCAACCUACCUUACAUUGGGGGAUAGCCUUUCGAAAGGGAGAUUAAUACCGCAUAAGACAGUAGCUGGGCAUCCAGCAGCUGUUAAAGAUUUAUCGAUGUAAGCUGGGCAUGCGUCCAAUUAGUUAGUUGGUGAGGUAAUGGCUCACCAAGACGAUGAUUGGUAGGGGAACUGAGAGGUCAAUCCCCCACACUGGCACUGAGAUACGGGCCAGACUCCUACGGGAGGCAGCAGUAGGGAAUAUUGGGCAAUGGGCGCAAGCCUGACCCAGCCAUGCCGCGUGCAGGAAGAAGGCGUUCUGCGUUGUAAACUGCUUUUAUAUAGGAAGAAACGGCCCUUGCGAGGGACAUUGACGGUACUAUAUGAAUAAGCACCGGCUAACUCCGUGCCAGCCGCCGCUGUAACAC